GAUUAUGGCGGAUGGGAGGCAGGACUACAUUGCAGCUCCAGAUAGAACAGCAUCUGGAGACUUGCACUGUGAAUUUUAGCGCCAGAUCAACUAAAAGAACAAAUCAGCAAUCCUGAGAGGACUCACAGACCCUCUGAAGGAAGCGGACUACUGCAGGACCUGGGAAACACCCUAAAUACUCAGCUGCAGCAAGACCCGCCCAAGUAAAGUCUGAGCUCAGACACGCCUCGCCCUGCCCCAACCUGAUGGUCCUUCCCUAUCCACGCGGCAGCGGAAGACAAAAGGUAUAGAAUCUUGGGAGUUCUAGGGCCCCGCCCACUACCAGUCCCUCUCCACACUACUACAGCUGAUGCUUUCUAGAAAGCGCCACCUCCUGGCAGGAGGCCAACCAGUACAAGAGUAGAACAUUAAACCACCAAAGCUAAGGACCCUCAGGGAAUCCACCGAACUCUUCGCCACCUCCACCGGAACAGGCACUGGUAUCCACAGCUGAGAGACCCAUAGACGGUUCACAUCACAGAACUCUGAUGCGAACAGAGUGUCACAACCGCCAGUACCAGUCUGGAGCCGGGUAGACUUGCUGGGUGGUUAGAACCAGAAGAGAGACAACAAUCACUGCCGUUUGGCUCACAGGAAGCCACAUCCAUAGGAAAAGGAGGAGAGUACUACAUCAAGGCAACACCCCACUGGACAAAAGAAUCUGAACAACAGCCUUCGGCCUUAGACCUUCCCUCUGACAGAGCCUACCCAAAUGAGAAGGAACCAGAAAACCUGGUAAUAUGACAAAACAAGACUCUUCAACACCCUCCCCCCCCCCAAAAAAAAUCACACUAGUACACCAGCAAUGGAUCCAAACCAAGAAGAAAUCCCUGAUUUACCUGAAAAAGAAUUCAGGAGGUUACUUAUUAAGCUAAUUAGGGAGGGACCAGAGAAAGGUGAAGCCCAAUGCAAGGAAAUCCAAAAAAUGAUACAAGAAGUGAAGGGAGAAAUAUUCAAUGUAACAGAUAGCUUAAAGAAAACACAAUAAAAAAUUCAGGAAACUUUGGAUACACUUUUAGAAAUGUAAAAUGCUCCAGAAAGUCUCAGCAAUAAAAAUGAACAAGUAGAAGAGAAAAAUUCAGAGCUCAAAGACAAGGUCUUCGAAUUAACCCAAUCCAAUAAAGACAAAGAAAAAAGAAAAAGAAAAUAUGAACAAAGCCUCCAAGAAGUCUGGGAUUACAUUAAACAACCAAACCUAAGAAUAACCAGUGUUCCUGAGGAAGAAGAGAAUUCUAAAAGCUUGGAAAACAUAUUUGGGGGAAUAAUUGAGGAAAAUUCCCCAGCCUAGCUGGAGACCUAGACAUCCAAAUACAAGCAGCACAAAGAACAUCUGAGAAAUUCAUCACAAAAAGAUCUAGGCACGUUGUCAUCAGGUUAUCCAAAGUUAAGACAAAGGAAAGAAUCUUGAGAGCUGUGAGACAGAAGCACCAGGUAAACUAUAAAGGAAAACCUAUCAGAUUAACAGCAAAUUUCUCAGCAGAAACCCUAAAAGCUAGGAGGGAUUGGGGCCCUAUCUUCAGCCUCCUCAAACAAAACAAUUAUCAGCCAAGAAUUUUGUAUCCAGAGAAACUAAGUAUCAUAUAUGAAGGAAAGAUACAGUCGUUUUCAGACAAACAAGUGCUGAGAGAAUUCACCAUUACCAAGCCACCACUACAAGAACUGCUAAAAGGAUCUCUAAAUCUUGAAAGGAAUCCUGGAAACCAUGAAAACAGAACCUCUUUAAAGCAUAAAUUACACAGGACCUAUAAAACAAAAAUAUAAGCUAAAAAGCAAAAGCAAGAAACAAAACAAAAAAACAACACAAAGUCCACAGGCAACAAAGAGCACAAUGAACGCAAAGGUACCUCACAUUUAAAUACUAACACUGAAUGUAAAUGGCCUAGGUGCUCCACUUAAGAGAUACAGAACUGCAGAAUGGAUAAGAACUCACCAAGGAACUAUCUGCUGCCUUCAGGAUACUCACUUAACACAUAAGAACUCAUUGGAAAAAACCCUUCUAGAUAUUGGCUUAGGCAAAGAUAAAUAGCUGGGACUUAACUAAACUAAAGAGCUUUUGAAUGGCAAAAGGAACAGUCAGCAGAGUAAACAGAAAACCCACAGUGUGGGAGAAGAUCUUCACAAUCUAUACAUCUGAAAAAGGAGGAAUAUCCAGAAUCUACAGCGAACUCAAGCAAAUCAGUAAGUAAAAAACAAACAAUCCCAUCAAAAAGUAGGCUAAAGACAUGAAUAGACAGUUCUCAAAAGAAGAUAGACAAAUGGCAAAUAAACAGAUGAAAAAACGCUCAAUAUCACUAAUGAUCAGGGAAAUACAAAUCAAAAGCACAAUGUGAUACCACCUUACUCCUGCAAGAAUGGCCAUAAUCAAAAAAUCAAAAAACAGUAGAUGUCGGUGUGGAUGCUGUGAACAGGGAACACUUCUACACUGCUGGGUUGAAUGUAAACUUGUACAGUCACUAUAGAAAACAGUGUGGAGAUUCCUUAAAGAACUAAAACUAGAACUACCAUUUGAUCCAUCAAUCCCACUACUGAGUAUCUACCCAGAGGAAAAGAAGUCAUUAUUCGAAAAAGAUACUUGCACACGCAUGUUUAUAGCAACACAAUUCACAAUUGCAAAAUUGUGGAACCAACCCAAUUGCCCAUCAAUCAAUGAGUGGAUAAAGAAACUGUGAUAUAUAUAUCUGCAUUUAAUAUAUAUCUAUGUGUGUGUGUGUGAUGUCAUCUGCAUUGUAUAUAUAUUAUAAUACAUUAUAUAUUAUGUAAUCUGAAUUAAAUAUAUAUGAUAUAAUGCAUUUAUAUAUCUGAUGGAAUACUACGCAGCCAUAAAAAGAAUGAAGUAACGGCAUUUGCAGUGACCUGGAUGAGACUGGAGACUACUAUUCUAAGUGAAAUAACUCAGGAAUAGAAAACCAAACAUCAUAUGUUCUCACUGAUAUGUGGGAGCUAAGCUAUGGGGAUGCAAAGGCAUGAUGCAGUGGACUUUGGGAACAUGGGUGAAAGAGUAGGAGGGGGCGAGGGAUAAAAUACUAUAAAUAUCAUGCAGUGUAUACUGCUUGGGUGAUGGGUGCAUCAAAAUCUCAUAAAUCACCACUAAAGAAGUUACUCAUGUAAUCAAAUACCACCUGUACCCCAAUAACUAAUGGAAAAAUAAAAAUAAAAAUAAAAUAAAAUAAUAAAAGAGUCAAUGAAUUAUACAUCUAAGCAAAGAACUGACUCAGAAAUGUGACUAGGACCAUUUAGGAUCUAGAGAAUGUUAUGAACUC
rnacentral:lncRNA from 10 species